rnacentral:rRNA from 1 species
GAUCCUGGCUCAGAUUGAACGCUGGCGGCAGGCCUAACACAUGCAAGUCGAACGGUAGCACAGAGAGCUUGCUCUCGGGUGACGAGUGGCGGACGGGUGAGUAAUGUCUGGGAAACUGCCUGAUGGAGGGGGAUAACUACUGGAAACGGUAGCUAAUACCGCAUAACGUCGCAAGACCAAAGAGGGGGACCUUCGGGCCUCUUGCCAUCAGAUGUGCCCAGAUGGGAUUAGCUAGUAGGUG